rnacentral:rRNA from 1 species
GUACGUAGGGGCGAGCGUUGUCCGGAUUUAUUGGGCGUAAGAGCUCGUAGGCGGCUCGUUGCGUCGGCUGUGAAAACCCGGGGCUCAACUCCGGGCCUGCAGCCGGAUACGGGCAGACUAGAGUUCGGCAGGGGAGACUGGAAUUCCUGGUGUAGCGGUGAAAUGCGCAGAUAUCAGGAGGAACACCGGUGGCGAAGGCGGGUCUCUGGGCCGAUACUGACGUGGAGGAGCGAAAGCGUGGGGAGCGAACAGG